AGGUACCCCAAGCAAUUACCUACUGUGAGAUGUGGGAGGAACCAUUCUACAGGAGCAUGGGCCACUGACUGUUUUUUAUAACAGCUUGGUGCAUGUCCUUUUUUCUAAUAAUUCAAGCAUGAACACACUUUCUUAGGAAUGUUGUCAAUAUCUGGAUGACUAACGAUCAUAAAGGUUAAAAAAAAUGUAUGGCAUACAUUACCAAGAAUAAAAGGUCGCAACUGGCAGUAUAAUUGACCGUGUGACAGAGAGAAGAUGAGCAAGAUCAACCAAACUUCUCUGUAUAAAGACAGAGUCCCAGCCUGAAGUUCAGAGAAUCUUCCCAAAAAUUCAGUACUGGUUGACAUGAUCUGAUUCCCUGAGUUCAACUUCCCUCUAUGCUCUAGCAUGGAGCCUGUUGUGCAGCACAGAAUGACAAGACAUCAGGUCCUGCUGCACAGAAUGUCUGGCACCUCUACCAGAUACACAUAGCCAUCUUCCUGGGGUUGUGGAGAGGGGGCUUGCUCUAGGCCAAGGACUUUCAGAUGGAUCAGUGCUACAGAAUGGUACUCUGGCAGAAAAGUUGGGGCUACAUUGGAAAUGAGUGCAGGAGGCUGAGAGAGCUGAACUGUUGGAGGUCACCGCCAUGGUCACCUCAUGGGUGUUGCCCUGAAGAAGUAAGGAUGGAUGCCCUUCCCUAGGGAGCAUUUCCACUAAACAGAGAGGCACCCUUCUCCUGCACCUGUUACCACACUGUAUCCUUCAGAACAUCUUCUGGACACACCGGAUUCCUUUACAAAGAUGUUUGGCAAUGGGACAACUGUGUGUGUGUGUCUCUCUUUUUUAUCCAUUUAUCCAUCCAUCCAUCUAGUCAUGCAGCAUGAAGACCUGGAGCCUGGACGGAGGGCACAGGUGCUCAGGAAUCCUCCCCUGUGUGAAGCCGGCUGAGUUGAGAGAGGAGUCGCUGCUGUGCAGAGGAUGUCUAUCAACCCCUCUCCUCCACUGUGUGAAGAAGACAGAUCUGCCUGACCUGCAUUUUAUGACAGAUGUCAAAUACAUCGAAGUGUGUUGUGAAGCAGAUCACCCUAUUGGCAAAGAAAUGAAAGACCACCAGGAAGAUGGAUGGGAAGCUUUCCUCCAGGGAUUUCUCGUCUCUUCAUGUAGGUCUGGCAGUGAACCCUGAAGAAGGACUGGUGGGCAGGUUGUUUACAGCAUCCUUCAUUAAAUUGAUAUUCCAUUGCAUUAUAAUCUCCGCAUGUCCCUGUGCCCUCAGACUUGUGUCAAAUGUGAUUAGCAGAAAGUUGUUACCUGGAACAGAUGGAUUAUAAAAAGGCUAUCUUUCCUUCAGGUGGGUGUAGCCAGCACCAGGGUGUGACUUGGUGGGUGUUGUGCAGCUGUUCUUCAGCUGGGCCCUGGGUGCUGGGCAUGAUCUAGACACUGGUUUGUGGUGACCUCACUAUGCUGGCAUGUAACACAGAGCACAACUCAAUGUCCACUCUCAGUAGUGUUUUCAGACUGUAACUUAUUACAGUCACUCUUGUGCCACACGUGAUGGCAUUCUAAUUUCAAAGAAGUCACUUUACUCAUUGGAAACAUAGUGGACAAUCUGUGUGGAAUAUCCCCACACUGUAUUUUUGGUCUUCUUAAAAGCUUUCUUCCUUUGAGUCAAUCACACACAAAAAAAAGAAUAUAGCAUUUCAUUCUUUGUGUGUUGGAUAUAAACUACUAAGGGAUUUUCAUUUGGUUUGGUUAUUCUAUUUUAUUUGUGUGUGAAAAGAGGAGACACCAGUCGGCCUUUGGACUAUGGUUGGGAGAAAACAUGGAGAAACGAAGGCAGCACAAACAACUAGAGGACAUUCUAUUCUUUACAUCAUGUGUGAUUCCGCCAAAUUAGAGGAAAGUAAAAUCCUUAAUAUAUGAAGGAGCCAUACAAUCUCCUGUGUUGGACUUUUGUUCUGUGGUAGAAUCAUGAAGAGAAAUCUGUAAAAUGCAGAUUCAUUUGCUUGACUUUCCCCCUCUUGAUGGACUGGGCAUUUGACCAUGACAACCUAGGGGAAAGGGGGAUGGGAUGCAAACUGUUCCAAGAUCUGUUCCUCCAAACCAACUGCCAAAGUGGAGUUCCAUGAAUCUCAUGAUGGAAAGUGCUGCAUUAGGGUGGAGGCUUCUUUAAGAACAUGGAUGAUUUCAGUUUCAGAAAGGUAACUUUGAGCACCUGGAGGAAGACUGCCAAUGGUGACAGAUGAGACCAAAGGCAACCUAUAAUGAGGACAUUAAAAUCUUCUGGGGAAGAGAAAGCAAGAGUUAGAAUUAAGGCCGUGAAGAUGGCAAGAAAGGAUGGACUGGACAGAGUUGUGAGUGGUAGAAUGGACACUCUACAAUCCCAAGGAAGUUGAAUGGUUAAAAAAGAUUUAAAAGGGACUCUGAAGCUUCUAGUUAGGAAGCUUGGACAGUGAAGAGAAAUGUUCGGUAGAUGAGAAAUUUAAUUUCAUUUGGGAUAUGUUAUAAUUGAGCUGUCUAUAAGACAUAUAGUCAGAGCUGGUCAACUCCCAUUCAACAACUGAAGAUACUAAUCUAUAGGGCAGGGUAUACAUGAACAUAACUUUAUUUUUCUAUGAUGCUUCAGGUGACACUUUAUCAUCUUGCCAGUUCUCAGAGGUCAUCAUAAUGAAUAUCAAGUGUUGCUUGACCAUAAAAGUAUAAAAGUGCAGAUUGCAGAGAGCUGUGUUUAAUAGAAAGUGAAUAUAAAUGAUUUAUUAACUUACUCAUUGAGCUAUUAACAUGUGCCUACCAUAGCAAUGGUACAUGAGGAAAAGAGAAACACACACAAACAAACAUAAAAAGGCAAAAAUCCUUGCUCAAUUUGCUUAUUAUCUUAAACUUAUAGAACAUAUUGCAAAUGGUCAGAAUACCUGUGUUACAAUUCAACCUUUUCCUUGCUAUGUGACCUAAGGCAAAUGACUGAACUUUUUAAAGCUUCAGUUUCUCAUGUGCAAAAUAUUGUUUGUAGAAUAGUAUUUAUAAAUGAUUGGUAUCUUUGUUAUCAGGGAGUGGUGAGGAUUAGUUAGGGUUAAGACAAAAAAAUUACUGCAUUUUGAAUGUAUAAAAUAAACUUCUUUGGGAAAUAAUGAAUGCAUUGUGAUCUAUUUAAUAAAUUUUACCAUUACUUUAUUUGAUUUCCAGUUAAGCCAAAUAAUAAUCUGCCUAUUUGAAUUGCAAAAAUCAAGCUGGUUUGAAUUAAAGAAGUGUGAAAAACUCUUCGGUUGGGAAAAUACAUAACACUUCCAUCAAUUAAAAAUAGGUAAAACGUGUUAAAAAUAAUGAAAAGUUCAUGUGUAAUUGAACUGGCUUUUUUUCAUGAGCCUAUAUUUUUAUCAAGUUUCAUGAAACAAAAAUUGAAUUGGUGC